AGGUGGCCGGUCGGGCUGGAAGGGCGGGGAUGAGGGAUGGGACGCAUCCCCGGGGGAUGCUCCUCCAAAGCUUUUAUCGGGCGAGCGCAGUGGCUCACGCCUGUAAUUCCUGCACUUUGGGAGGCUAAGGAUGAAAGGCUUCCUAGCACAAACACCACCCCUGGAGUUCCCGGUACAUCAAUACCAGCCUGGGGAUCACGUUCUCAUCAAGAGUUGGAAGAGGGAAAGCUUGAACCAGCUUAGGAGGACCUCAUCUGGUACUCUUGAUGAAUGAAACAGCAAUCUGAAUGGCUGAAAAAGGAUGGACCCAGCACUCCAGGUAAAAAGGACCCCACCCUUACAGAGUCAUGGGCUGUCACUCCAAGACCAAUGCCUUCCAAGUUAGUAUUCAAAAGGGUCUAAUCUGUCUUUCCCUUCUUCCCUUAACUACUCAAGGACACUUCAUUAUCAAUGUAACCAGAUCACUCUCUCCUCAAACAAUCACGUUUGACGCAUGUCUUGCCAUACACUUUGGGGACCUCCAAAACCAGAAGCAGCUAUCCUCCUUGUAGAAA
ensembl:lncRNA ZNF561-AS1 ZNF561 antisense RNA 1 (head to head)